rnacentral:rRNA from 1 species
GACGAACGCUGGCGGCGUGCUUAACACAUGCAAGUCGAACGGAAAGGCCCCUUUGGGGGUACUCGAGUGGCGAACGGGUGAGUAACACGUGAGUAACCUGCCCUUGACUUCGGGAUAACUUCAGGAAACUGGGGCUAAUACCGGAUAGGAAUCCUUGCUGCACGGUGGGGGUUGGAAAGCUUCGGCGGUUUUGGAUGGACUCGCGGCUUAUCAGCUUGUUGGUGGGGUAGUGGCUUACCAAGGCUUUGACGGGUAGCCGGCCUGAGAGGGCGACCGGCCACAUUGGGACUGAGAUACGGCCCAGACUCCUACGGGAGGCAGCAGUGGGGAAUAUUGCACAAUGGGCGGAAGCCUGAUGCAGCAACGCCGCGUGCGGGAUGACGGCCUUCGGGUUGUAAACCGCUUUCAGCAGGGGCGAAGCUUGUGGUGACGGUACCUGCAGAAGAAGCACCGGCUAACUACGUG